UAAGUAGACAGUGAAAUCUGGUGGCUCAACCAUUCAGACUAUUGUCUAAACUGCUAAGCUCGAGACCGUUAGGGUUACUGGAAUUUCUAGUGUAGGAGUGAAAUCCGUAGAUAUUAGAAGGAACACCGAUAGCGUAGGCAGGUAACUGGGACGGUUCUGACACCAAGGCGCGAAAGCGUAGGGAGCAAACGGGAUUAGAUACCCCGGUAGUCUACGCCGUAAACGAUGGAUACUA
rnacentral:rRNA from 1 species